rnacentral:piRNA from 1 species
UUUCUUAAAGCAAGAGCCUGAGCCU